rnacentral:rRNA from 1 species
GCCGUAGCGAAAGCGAGUGUUAACUGAGCGUUCAGUAACUUGACGUAGACCCGAAACCGGGCGACCUACCCAUGAGCAGGAUGAAGCGAAAGUAAAAUUUCGUGGAGGUCCGAACCCACGAGCGUUGAAAAGCGCGGGGAUGACUUGUGGGUAGCGGUGAAAUUCCAAUCGAGCCCGGAGAUAGCUGGUUCUCCCCGAAAUAGCUUUAGGGCUAGCCUCAAGGUGAGAGAUACGGAGGUAGAGCACUGAAUGUCCUAGGGG